rnacentral:rRNA from 1 species
CCUACUUUUAUCCGCCGUGGGGAAUAUUGCACAAUGGGGGAAACCCUGAUGCAGCGACGCCGCGUGAGUGAAGAAGUAAUUCGUUACGUAAAGCUCUAUCAGCAGGGAAGAAACACUGACCUUACGGUCAGCAGACGGUACCUGAGUAAGAAGCCCCGGCUAACUACGUGCCAGCAGCCGCGGUAAUACGUAGGGGGCAAGCGUUAUCCGGAUUUACUGGGUGUAAAGGGAGCGUAGACGGUGCGGCAAGUCUGGAGUGAAAUGCCGCAGCUUAACUGCGGAACUGCUUUGGAAACUGGCGAACUAGAGUGCGGGAAGGGUAAGCGGAAUUCCUAGUGUAGCGGUGAAAUGCGUAGAUAUUAGGAGGAACACCGGUGGCGAAGGCGGCUUACUGGACCGUAACUGACGUUGAGGCUCGAAAGCGUGGGGAGCAAACAGGAUUAGAUACCCGAGUAGUC